UGACCUAGCUAUAUAAAUGUCUCCCUUGUCUUUAGUUUCCAUUCUCAGCUAUUGUUGUCUCUUCAUCGGCACCAUGCUUCCUAGCCACUGCCGCCUGAACUCUUAGCUAACAUUUAUUCUUCUAUGGGUAAUCAAUGUUGUUCUCAUCCUCACGUUGCAUAUCUUCAUCACAGAAGUGUUACCAAAACACCAAGGUGGUUGGGUUGUCUCUGUCAUGAUGUUGAAGGAGGAAAGAUCCAUACUUAUGUAGUUCCUCCAUAGGAUCUGAGGCUCAGUCCCGGGGUCCCACUAAGCAGUAGACAGUUGUCAGACGUAGACGUUAAAGUUAGUGAGCCUCCCUUAUUUUUGGAAGGACCUGUAUCAUGAGAUAUUUACAUUUGGUUUUAGUUCAUGGUCCAACCGGGGGCCUUGUCCUGGUUUCAGACAUAUGUUUUUUCAGUUCUAGUAGAGAUUUUGCAGACGUGUAUUAGAUGGUUUUGAGUUUUAUUGAACUUAUGUCCGCAUUGCUUAGUUAAAGUAUUAUAAUGACCA